rnacentral:rRNA from 1 species
AUUGAACGCUGGCGGCAGGCCUAACACAUGCAAGUCGAGCGAGCGGCGGACGGGUGAGUAAUGUCUGGGAAACUGCCUGAUGGAGGGGGAUAACUACUGGAAACGGUAGCUAAUACCGCAUACCAUCAGAUGUGCCCAGAUGGGAUUAGCUAGUAGGUGGGGUAAUGGCUCACCUAGGCGACGAUCCCUAGCUGGUCUGAGAGGAUGACCAGGCACCCUGGAACUGAGACACGGUCCAGACUCCUACGGGAGGCAGCAGUGGGGAAUAUUGGACAAUGGGCGAAAGCCUGAUGAAGCCAUGCCGCGUGUGGGAAGAAGGCCUUCGGGUUGUAAAGCACUUUAAGCUGGGAGGCGUUACCCGCAGAAGAAGCACCGGCUAACUCCGUGCCAGCAGCCGCGGUAAUUC